rnacentral:rRNA from 1 species
GAUAUAGCUGGUUUUCUGCGAAAUCUAUUUUGGUAGAUGACUUGUUAUUAUUUGUAGUGGGUAUAGCACUGAAUAUCUAACUUAUGUUAGAAGGGAGUAUGAAGGUACUUACUUUGGAUAUUUAAUCUGAGAAUAGCUAUUAAUAUAUGAUGAGUUAUCAGACUUCUUGCGAUAAGGUGAGGAGUCGAGAGGGAAACAGCCCAGA